rnacentral:rRNA from 1 species
AAAUUGAAGAGUUUGAUCAUGGCUCAGAUUGAACGCUGGCGGCAGGCCUAACACAUGCAAGUCGAACGGUAACAGGAAGAAGCUUGCUUCUUUGCUGACGAGUGGCGGACGGGUGAGUAAUGUCUGGGAAACUGCCUGAUGGAGGGGGAUAACUACUGGAAACGGUAGCUAAUACCGCAUAACGUCGCAAGACCAAAGAGGGGGGACCUUCGGGCCUCUUGCCAUCGGAUGUGCCCAGAUGGGAUUAGCUAGUAGGUGGGGUAACGGCUCACCUAGGCGACGAUCCCUAGCUGGUCUGAGAGGAUGACCAGCCACACUGGAACUGAGACACGGUCCAGACUCCUACGGGAGGCAGCAGUGGGGAAUAUUGCACAAUGGGCGCAAGCCUGAUGCAGCCAUGCCGCGUGUAUGAAGAAGGCCUUCGGGUUGUAAAGUACUUUCAGCAGGGAGGAAGGGAGUAAAGUUAAUACCUUUGCUCAUUGACGUUACCCGCAGAAGAAGCACCGGCUAACUCCGUGCCAGCAGCCGCGGUAAUACGGAGGGUGCAAGCGUUAAUCGGAAUUACUGGGCGUAAAGCGCACGCAGGCGGUUUGUUAAGUCAGAUGUGAAAUCCCCGGGCUCAACCUGGGAACUGCAUCUGAUACUGGCAAGCUUGAGUCUCGUAGAGGGGGGUAGAAUUCCAGGUGUAGCGGUGAAAUGCGUAGAGAUCUGGAGGAAUACCGGUGGCGAAGGCGGCCCCCUGGACGAAGACUGACGCUCAGGUGCGAAAGCGUGGGGAGCAAACAGGAUUAGAUACCCUGGUAGUCCACGCCGUAAACGAUGUCGACUUGGAGGUUGUGCCCUUGAGGCGUGGCUUCCGGAGCUAACGCGUUAAGUCGACCGCCUGGGGAGUACGGCCGCAAGGUUAAAACUCAAAUGAAUUGACGGGGGCCCGCACAAGCGGUGGAGCAUGUGGUUUAAUUCGAUGCAACGCGAAGAACCUUACCUGGUCUUGACAUCCACGGAAGUUUUCAGAGAUGAGAAUGUGCCUUCGGGAACCGUGAGACAGGUGCUGCAUGGCUGUCGUCAGCUCGUGUUGUGAAAUGUUGGGUUAAGUCCCGCAACGAGCGCAACCCUUAUCCUUUGUUGCCAGCGGUCCGGCCGGGAACUCAAAGGAGACUGCCAGUGAUAAACUGGAGGAAGGUGGGGAUGACGUCAAGUCAUCAUGGCCCUUACGACCAGGGCUACACACGUGCUACAAUGGCGCAUACAAAGAGAAGCGACCUCGCGAGAGCAAGCGGACCUCAUAAAGUGCGUCGUAGUCCGGAUUGGAGUCUGCAACUCGACUCCAUGAAGUCGGAAUCGCUAGUAAUCGUGGAUCAGAAUGCCACGGUGAAUACGUUCCCGGGCCUUGUACACACCGCCCGUCACACCAUGGGAGUGGGUUGCAAAAGAAGUAGGUAGCUUAACCUUCGGGAGGGCGCUUACCACUUUGUGAUUCAUGACUGGGGUGAAGUCGUAACAAGGUAACCGUAGGGGAACCUGCGGUUGGAUCACCUCCUUACCUUAAAGAAGC